rnacentral:rRNA from 1 species
GAUGAACGCUGGCGGCGUGCCUAAUACAUGCAAGUCGAGCGAACAGACGAGGAGCUUGCUCCUCUGACGUUAGCGGCGGACGGGUGAGUAACACGUGGAUAACCUACCUAUAAGACUGGGAUAACUUCGGGAAACCGGAGCUAAUACCGGAUAAUAUAUUGAACCGCAUGGUUCAAUAGUGAAAGACGGUUUUGCUGUCACUUAUAGAUGGAUCCGCGCCGCAUUAGCUAGUUGGUAAGGUAACGGCUUACCAAGGCAACGAUGCGUAGCCGACCUGAGAGGGUGACCGGCCACCCUGGAACUGAGACACGGUCCAGACUCCUACGGGAGGCAGCAGUAGGGAAUCUUCCGCAAUGGGCGAAAGCCUGACGGAGCAACGCCGCGUGAGUGAUGAAGGUCUUCGGAUCGUAAAACUCUGUUAUUAGGGAAGAACAAAUGUGUAAGUAACUAUGCACGUCUUGACGGUACCUAAUCAGAAAGCCCCGGCUACCUACG